rnacentral:SRP_RNA from 1 species
AAUAGUAGACGCGGCAAUGGUCGCGUCGUGAACCGGGUCAGGACUGGAAGGUAGCAGCUCUAAGCGACAACGCCAUGUGCCGUAUUUAUUUUGCUU